UGAGUUACACAGCAGGGCAAAAACAUUCUUAACAAAAAAUGAAUCAAGGCAAAACUGUUAGUUACAAACUCUGUCAUGGUAAAAUGAAAUUAACAAGAGCUCUACCUUCACACUAGAAUGGAAAACUGAACUCAACAGGGCUUGAUUUUGCUGCAUGCAUGGCAUGAAAUAGCUCUACCAAUUCCCCUCAAGCCAACUAACAGAUCUUGCAAAAUAUUGAGUGGUCUCAACUCCAAAGUCAGUUUGGUGACAUUCCGCACAAGUGCUGUCACUUCAUGGCCUUGCUGUAGCGCUUGUGAGACCAGAAACUGACCGGACUGACCUGUUGCACCAAGAACCGACAGCUUCAUAACUUAUCUG